AAGGGUCUUUGUGGUGCAUGCAUAGAAAGAAGUUAGUUAUCUGUUCUAAUUUCCUCUGUUUUUGAUCCAGACAAAUCUUUGGUAUUGAUUGGUUGUUCAGCAGAGAUGGUAAUAAAAAUAGUUGAAUUGCUGAAAGACUUUGCAUCUCAUGAAGAGAUUAUGGAGAUUCUUGCCACAGUGGCUGCAGAUUUGGGGGAUGUCAUCGAUGUGAGUUUCUUGCAGGUCAAACCUUUGAAGGGAGCAAUGACUAAUGAGGUUUUCGAGAUAAACUGGCCAGCCAAAAGUGAUGGCCAUCUCAGAAGGGUUCUAGUCCGAUUAUACGGCGAAGGUGUUGAGGUUUUCUUCAACAGGGAUGUUGAGGAUGAAAUCCAAACUUUUGAGAGCAUGUCAAAGCACGGUCAGGGUCCAUGCCUUCUUGGCCGGUUCGCCACUGGUCGAGUUGAGGAGUUCAUUCAUGCCAGAUUCCAUGUGAUCAGAACUCGAACUGAAACCUGUAGAAAAAAGGUGAGAAGCUUGGAGCAGAUGAACGGAAAUCUCCUUCUUGAACUUGUUCAAGAAGGAUUCAUGCACAUAUGGCUGAUGGAUGCUGAUUCAUGUCCAUUUUUUAAGAAAGAAUUCAGUUAAUCUUUCUGUAAUAUAUGUAAAAUUGUGUAAAAUUUAGUAUGGUUGACCAAUAUACUGAGGAUUAUAGUUGAUAAUACACUUUGUUUAUGUUUUGAAUUAUAUUGACUUGCUU